UAGGGAAUCUUCCACAAUGGACGAAAGUCUGAUGGAGCAAUGCCGCGUGAGUGAAGAAGGGUUUCGGCUCGUAAAACUCUGUUGUUAGAGAAGAACGGGCGUGAGAGUAACUGCUCACGUCGCGACGGUAUCUAACCAGAAAGUCACGGCUAACUACGUGCCAGCAGCCGCGGUAAUACGUAGGUGGCAAGCGUUGUCCGGAUUUAUUGGGCGUAAAGCGAGCGCAGGCGGUCUUCUAAGUCUGAUGUGAAAGCCUUCGGCUUAACCGGAGAAGUGCAUCGGAAACUGGGAAACUUGAGUGCAGAAGAGGACAGUGGAACUCCAUGUGUAGCGGUGAAAUGCGUAGAUAUAUGGAGGAACACAAGUGGCGAAGGCGGCUGUCUAGUCUGUAACUGACGCUGAGGCUCGAAAGCAUGGGUAGCAAACAGG
rnacentral:rRNA from 1 species